ensembl:lncRNA
GAUGGACUGCUACACUUCCUCCGAUCCAGCUGCAGAGAACGCCUCCCUGCUGUUUGACCUGAACAAUGAUGAAGAUAACCUCUGGAUCAGAACCAGCCAGGGCCUCUCUCCCUGUCCCUCCCCCCCUCCUGACUCCCAGUGCAUUGUGUGUCUGGAGGACAGGGUGUACGCCGUGUGCCGCACGCUGUCAGAUGGCGUGAAACUGGCGAUGCAGACCGAAACUCAGCAGGUCGAGAUCUUCAAGAGCGGUUGUCCAGAACUUCCCUCUGAUGUUGGUCCAGAACUUCCCUCUGAGGACGCUCUACAGUGGCUGCUGCCUGUUGCCCUCAUCCUCCUCUUCAUCUUCAUCAUCCUCUCCCUGGUGGUGUAUUUCUGCUGCUGUCAGGGACGCCAGCGGUUCAGCAGAGUGGACAACGGGACUCUGGACAAAGACGGAUCGCCUGAGACAUCAUGAAAGACGACGUUCUUUCUCUUUUAGUGUUAAUCUAUCUUUUAAACCUCAACGUGCCUUUAAAUUCUCUCCUCUCUUAAAAUCUGACGAGUCCUUAAGAAUGAAUGAAUGUGGUCCAGGUUGCACAGAGUCGGGAGGUUAGUCCGGUUAAUGGAGUUGGAUCGUUAUCAGGUCAAUGCAAUGUAAAGAACUUUGUGCAAUACUGUUUAUUAUGCUGCUUCUUUCUCUAGUUAACUUUAUAUUCAGUUAUUUUCUACUGCCACUGCUAUAUAUUAAUAUUCUAUAUAAAUGCUGUUUUUACUGCCUUUGGGUCCUGAUAGUAAUCAUGUACCGUCUGCUCACUACCAUUUACAUUCUGUCUGUAAGUUCACCACAGUGCUUUAAUAAACUCACACUGACCCUGAACUGGACCUCAAUGAUGGAUUCAAUGUCUGUUAUGUCACAUAUUUAUUGAUAUUUCAUCUUAUAUUGAAAGUAACUGCAGGAAGUUAUUUGGAUGAAUUGUGAGCAGAUUGUUUCCCUUUUUAUACAUUUCUGUCUCUAUUCUGUAUUUUUGAUUAAUACCUCGUAUUUCUGCUCCCUGACACUUUUAUUCUAUUAGACAAUUUACUUUUAGUGAAUCUCAGAUAAAAUCUCAAUGAAAUGAAGCCCAGGAGACCAUCGCCAUGGCAACCCUUAAUUGGGAGCUGGACGACCUAAUUAACAGCAGCAUUAAACACAUUAAUGCAUCAAUAAUUAUAAAGGUGUUACCAACGAUGAUUAAGGCUCAGUUCCAUUUAGUGUAUCAGAGUGUUUCCAGUAUCCAUGGUAACGUCUGUGUUUACCUGCUGUUACACCUGAACUCACCUGUGGAGGACUUUUAUUCACACGGUUAAUGAUCAUUGAGUUUGAUUUCCACUGUUGGAUCCCCAGUGAUACAGAAGGAGUGAAUGUGAUGAACAAUUCACAAUAAGUUGUAAUAAUGAAACAAUAACAGGUUAAAAGCAAGAAGCAUUUUAAUUUCAUAUAUUUGAUGAUCUGAAUUAAAGUUGGACAGCGACAGGGUUCAGCUGGUUGGAGUCGGCUGCGGUCUGCACUCUGUGAACACCAGACAAUGAUUCUGAUAUCACAUGUGAACAUUAUAUUCAGACUAUAGAUCCUCCUCAGUGUCUCACACACACACACACACACACACAUUUACCCUCUGCUUCUUCAUUGUCUUCUACAUUUCCAGAGUUUGUAGGAAGCCACCAAGACGAUGAAGAGGAUGAGGAAGACGAGGAGGAGCGGCCACCAAUCAGCUGUCAGACAGAGCAGUGUCUUAAAACCAAUUAAAACCAAACUGAUGAUAAAAAAAGAUCUUUUGAAAUAGUUUGUGAAACUUGCGUGCUCCUGCUCACCCUGCUGGUCUCCAGAUGAGUCAGCAUUUUUAUUUAUGACUGAAAGAAAGAAAAAGGAAGGAGGAGCCACAUUACAGUGAGCAGGUAGAACUGCUGAUCAAUAACCUUUAACUGAUCAAUACAUCAAACUCACCUUCAGAAAGGAGUCUGGGACACUCUGCAGGGAGAGGGAGGGAGGAGGGAGGGAGGGAGGAAGGGAGGAAGCAGUGUGAACA